GACCCAUAGAGACCCCAUAGUGACCCCAUAGGGACCCACAAGACCCCAUAAGACCCCAUAGCGACCCCAUAGGGACCCACAGAGACCCAUAGCGACCCCAUAGCGACCCCCAGUCCCCCCAGAGCGACCCAUAGCGGUCUCAUAGGGAGCCACAGAGACCCAUAGCGACACAGAGAUCCCAUAGAGACCCAUAGUGACCCCAUAGAGAACCCUAGCCCCCCUAUAGCGACCCAUAGAGACCCCACAUGACCCCAUAGGGACCCACAAGCCCCCAUAGUGACCCAUAGAGACCCCAUAGCGACCCAUAGCGACCCCAUAGGGACCCAGAGAGACCCACAAGACCCCAUAGUGACCCAUAGAGACCCCAUAGCGACCCCAUAGGGACACACAGAGACCCAUAGCGACCCCAUAGCGACCCCCAGUCCCCCCAGAGCGACCCAUAGCGGCCUCAUAGGGAGCCACAGAGACCCAUAGCGACACAGAGAUCCCAUAGAGACCCAUAGCGACCCCAUAGAGAACCCUAGCCCCCCUAUAGCGACCCAUAGAGACCCCAUAGCAACCCACAGCAACCCCAUAGGGACCCACAGAGACCCAUAGCGACCCCAUAGCGACCCCCAGCCCCCCUCCCGCCCCACGCACCAUGAGCUCCUCGUUAAUGAUCAUCUUGCUAAUGAUGCUGUGCACCGUGGGCAGGUCCAGCUGGAACAUGGCCGCCAGGAUCUCCAUGCUGUGGGGCAGG
rnacentral:lncRNA from 1 species